ACUUUCAGUAAAAGACGAAAUAAUUUAAAAAACAGAAGGCCAUAUGUUUUAGUACAGGAGCACAGAAUUCGACUUGUUUCAAACUUUGAGGAUGGAAAUUAGUAAUAUGUUUGCCAUGUAAAUUAAAUUCAAUUAUAAAAAGUAAAGUGAGUUUUGUUUUUAUAGAAGCACAGUCUGAGUUACAAGGACUUGUCCAGAUUUCAGAAUAGAGACAUUCAGUAUUUUUGUACUAUAUUUGGCUCAGGCUAAAAUUAUUUUUGCUCUUCUUGCUUUGCAGGUGGCAAUUACUGUCAUAGGUUCAGGGUGGAUCAGGGUUGUUGAGAAAGCUGUGUGAAAUCUUCCAAAGAAGAAAGCAGUUUCUAUCCAAGCAGGAAUAUCCAACUUAAAAAUAAACACUAAGUGUAGAGACUUUAUUUUUAGGAACAUAAAUUUCCUCUCAGGAACCUCAGCACCCUUUCCUGUAUCCUCAGAGAUUUUAAGCUGUGGAUCCUGCGUUGGUACUUGAGACCCUACACAAGCGUUUGAGCAAGGACUCCUAGAAGUAAGCAAUAUGUUGAAGAGAAGUAAGCAAGGUCAGAAAGUGAACCAUAGGACUCAUGCCCUCUUCAGGGCAAAGAAGAUUGUAGGCUCUUUCUGUUGAGUUUGGACUUGUAUUGGACACCUAGCCCAUGGUUAAUCCCAAAGACUGUAGUGAGUGUGUAAUGCUUUUUUUUUUUGCCCUUUGAUGACAUGUUUUGUAUGCCUUAAUUCUUUGAAUUCUGGGUUGUUUAUAAUUAUUUAUAGAAUGCAGAUGCUACAGCCAAGUUAGAGGUAUUUAAUAGAUGAAGUCUCAGUGCUAAUUUUCUAUGCUUGGAUAGAUAUGCAAGUACAUAUAUAGUAGAUUAAGUGCAGCACUUUCCACUAUUUUGGUAUUUUCUUCAGUGCUUUUUAAGUACUUAAGAUAUUCUUCAAAACAUGAAGUCUGAAACUAAAAGCUCAAUUUAGCAUGAUUUAAAAUAAUAUAAGCAAUUGUAACUUUUCUAUUUGACAGGUAAAUACUGCAAUGGAUUUGGUUCCACACAGAAUGCUGGAAGGAGAAAGAAGUGAAGAAAUAAACCACAUUAAUUUCCUGAGACUUUUUUUCCUGAUGAGCAGCAUGAAAUUAUACUGUAACAUUUUCAUCUAUGUAUGGAAGAUACAAUAUCUUUCUUUAUUCUAAAAACACUGUGGAAAGCUAUAGAAGCAAUAUUCUAUCCUGUCCUGCAGUUUUGAGAAUUACUCUGUCCUAUGUGACAUUGUGACAGUGUUGCAACUAAUCCCAGGUGAUGGGUAGGUGUUGGAGCUUCAUGCAUAUUGCUAUUGGAUCAACUUGGAUCAGUUCCCAUCUGUGACCUUGGACAAGGAAUUUCUGCCUUCGGGGCUUUCCAGAUGUUGUUUUACUGACAAAUUACAUGCUCUGGGAAGCAUGAUGACACCUUCACUAGAGUGAAGAGGGAUAUUGGAACA